GGGGCUAUAGCGCAGUUGGUAGCGCACUUCAAUGGCAUUGAAGGGGUCAGGAGUUCGAAUCUCCUUAGCUCCA
rfam:Oscillatoriales cyanobacterium 'hensonii' Contig_54, whole genome shotgun sequence.